UCCUGUCCCCCUCCUUCUUGGGCAAAAUAGUUGACCACAUCAGCUGCGACUCCAUCGUCAUGUGGCUUCUCAUGUGAUGCUGCGGCACUUUGGAGCCGAGCAUUUGAGACUCGUGGACAGACAGGACCGGUCAGGAACAGAGGGGGCAGGGAGGCCAAUAAACCCGAGAAAGGCCAGAAAUAAAAGUCGCGUCAACUUGAGGUCUGCAUAGCCUGGCUGCCUGAAGUGCUUGCUCCUGCCUGGGCUUCGCCAUGGAGUCCCCAAGCCUGGAACCAUGUCUGAACAACCUCCUGGUGGAGCUCUGGCCAGGGUCUCCUGGCAGCUGCAUGAGGGGCCUGCAGGUCAGAGGAAGCUGCAGAAGACCCCGGGUGGGAUGCGAGAGAAGACGCCGAGGACCCCGAGGGGGAGUUAGGAAGACUACUCCAGUGUCCGCACCUCCACGCCCGGCGAGGCAGUCCCUGCCUCUGUCACCCAGCUCAGGCUGCUCUUGGGGAUUAGACUGGGAGGCAACCAAAGCCGAAAUGUGGCGGGAUUUCCCCAGUGCCCCUGAAGAUGGAUGGACCAGGGAUCUACCUCUGUGUCAGCCUGGCAAAACGGAGGAAACACGGAGGCGGCGGAGAUGCCCAGCGUCCUGUGGCUGCCACUAGCUCUGCGUUCUCAGGUUGCGGGAGAAUGGCAUCGUUUAUAUCCUAGCACAUGGAUGGCAGAACUGUCAGUCGUAGUCUGGAUGUCCCGGGCACUGUCAAGGAAGAAAUUGAUGGGCUAGGUGACUACAGUGUCCCCAGAGAAAGAAGCCUUCCAGCAUGGAUUUAAAUGCAUGUGCAUGCACGUAGAGGAGAGGGGAGAGAGAGGGAGAGAGAGGUAGGUUUCUGACCAUUUUACACAGGAAGUGUGUCACUUGGCUGGAUCAGGCUUGGUUAGAGCUCAUGUUUUCAGCUGAUGCUCAACACCCAUUUCCUGAGUAGCCAGAAAGCAGGCCAAAGCAGCUGCAUGCAGCAUUUUCUUUGCACGGGAAAGCUGCUCCUUCGGUGUUAACUCCUGGAGGUCCUGUAGCUGUGCUGUGCUAGGACUGUGGGGCUUUGUUUCCUCUUCUUCAAACCCCUGUAAACACAGCUGUAUUCAGUAUGGUGGAAAAAAUUCUACCCCUGAAAUAGAAAUGUGAUCAAUUUAAUCAAAAUAAAUGCAUCACAGAUGACUCCAAGGCCAGCUGGGUAGCACAGGCUUCAGAUGCUAAGCGCUGCGCUCCUGGAGAUGAAUACAGUGUGAGAUUUAAAUGUUUGAGUGCCAGGCACAGCUAUAAUUAAAAAAAGAAAUCCUUUUCUAAGGACAAGGGAGGGCCCUCCAAACUCACAGCUCUGGAUAUGUACAGUUGUUGAUGCUGUUUGUAGACUGGGGUUUGUGGCAUUGUAUUUCCAGGGACAGUGACCUGAAGCAGGGUAUGGCCGUGGUCAAUAUGGAGAAUACUUUCAGCUCUCUUGCUGUUGUGGGAGGUGAGUGGCCUCUACAUGGUCUCAGGAAGCAUUGUCCAGGCACUCAGGCUUGCAGCAUUAGACUGCUAGGGGCAGUGUGACACUCCAGUCCAAGCUCCUUGGGUCUAGCUGCAAGCUGGGAGCCAGAAGCUUUCACAGUUGUCAUGGGGCUCUCUGGUGGGACGCCUGUCUGGCCUCACUGUCCACUGUUUGUUACUAAUUCUACAAAGCAGCUCUGUGUUGGAUUAUGUUUGGCCAGCUGUUGGUGCAUUCCUGAGGGUGGGGCCGGCAGAGGAUCUUGUUACUGUAUUUGCAAACUGUAGAUCUGUAUGCAGGGAGAGGCUGGAGGCAGGGAAAGAGGCAAAUUAAAGGAUCCCAAUGUUCUUAUUUGUUUCUCCAGAUAGCGCUAGAGUGAAUCCAGGAAGCUUGCAGUGAAAGAAGAGUGAGGAAGGCAUAGAGGGUGGAAGAAGGAAUAGAUGAAAGGGAGCAAGUCCCAAGAGCAGAGCACAGCUUCCAAGCUGCACAGAGCAGCAGAAUGUCAGCGGCUUGUAAUUAGUGGUGCUGUGUUGCGUCAGUGGCUGGAUCUCUCCAAGAAUAACUAUGUGGUGUGUGCUACAAAGUGAAGAGGAUAGUCAUAACUAAGUUAUCAAACACAGUUCAAACAAGGGCAAGUGGAUUAAGAAAUUUUCUGUUUGUAAAUCAAAUAUGGAUGGGUUCCAUGUGUAAGACUUGCUGAAUUGUGUCUCACUGCAGGGUGAAUUAUCAAUUUGUCAGGGGGAUGUGUUCAUGAAAUGAAAUGGCAAACCCUUAAAAAUAUAGAUUAAUUUUGCAAGCAUUAUCUCUGUAAAAUACUUUUCCAAGAUUCCCCAAACUACACUGCCAGCCUUCUGUCUCAACCCACAUAUCAUUUGUGUUUAAUUUUGUUCAUGUCAAUGGAGAGAAGUCAAAAGUUACACUUAAGUACCUAUGCUAUAGUAAACUCUAAAAUGUCCACUGAAUAAUUCACAAACAACUGUGUGAUUUUGAAUUUUCUUGCUGGUUAGCCUUAGUUUAUAACUUGGAAGAGCUUUUGUUGUCUCAAAGCCAAACCACAUUCUCAGCGAUCCCCUAGAAGGUCAGCGCACCACAGUUGUUAAGGUUUGAAGGCCACAUUCACUUCCCUCUCCUCCAGUAGUGGAGAUGUUUGGUACUGUGAUAGCCUGCACAAAGAGAUGGUGGGGGGAGCUGGCUGGCUGGUGGGCUGUGGAUGUUUACCCAUAUUUGUUUGCAGUAGUCCUCCACGACAUUCAGUUUGUAUCUGCAUUUGUGUUCACACUGCACAAUUACUCCUGACCUGCUUUGUUUCUCUGCCCAAAGACAAGUGGGUGUUAGUUCAGCUCAGGGCAUUUGGCUCCCUCGGCAAUAUGUGCAUGUGGAUUGUGUUACUUACUUAUGCAUCUUCUCCUUCUUCUGUUAAUGUGAAUUAGUGAAUAUUGUAAGCAGAAAGAGCUGUGUGCAUUAAAUCAAUUGCUUUUUGAAUUGCAUGUAAUAUAAGUUAAGUAUACUCACUUUGAGAUUGCCACAGCUGAUAUUGUCUGGGGCUGUUUAAUUUACAUCUUUGAUUUAGUAAAAAAAAGAAAAAAAAAAAAGAAAGAAAGAAAGAGAAGAAGAAAAAAUGACCUGCCCGAUCAGAAUGCUAUAUUCUGUGCAUCCACCAGGGUGGAAGACAUUAUUUUGUUUGUGUUGGUUCAAACAGCUGGUCAUUAAUGCAGACCCCAUUUCUACAUUGAAAUGCUGGUGGACAUGAAUGGCUGCCUGAUUAAUGCUGCCCCUCGGAGGGUCCUUCACCCAGCAGUCAUGCUUGCAGCAGAAUAAUGUAGCAUGAUGUGACUGCACUCCAACAGGAUAGUAUGUCAUUGUGUCACCAAGCAAUUGAGGUUAUUAUGGGGCAGGGCAGACAGACGGGACAGUGGGGUUACCAGACCGUAGCAUUUUUAGAAAUACAGGCCUGACCUACUUAGAGUUAUUCUCUCUGGCAGGCAGCUGCACGGUACAUAAAGUCUCCUGAUAGGCUGAGGCUGUUGCUAGGGGGAAUUAGCAUGAAUUUUUCCACACACAGAAUCAGUGACUGAAUGAUAAAAGCUGACUGGAAUUAAAGAGAUUUGGUUUAGCAUUAUACAGAUUUAUCUGCCUCCAUUUUUAUUUCUCAAGUGCAGAGAAAGCAUGUAAAAUGCAGAUUUGUUUCUAUUUGUACGUUGACCUUCUGCUUCUCUAGCUCCUGUCCCCUCACCUAAGAGCAAGAGGGAGGAGAGGACAGUUAGGGAAGGUCAGUUCAUAUCUCACUGCUGGGGUCACUGAAACCAGGUUGCAAGUUGCAGGAUAUUUAAGUUUAAAGACUGCUGGGGAGACUUCAAGAACGUUAGAUGAGUUUUCCUUUUCUGUUCUCGACUGUUCUGAAGCUAGGCAUGUAUCUUUCAUGCAUUGUAUAUUUAAACUCUAUUUCCCUUUUGGGCUUCAACAAAACAUUUAUAUAAAUUCUUUUCUAUCCAAACAGAUUGAAGCUUGCCAUUGCUGGCUUGUUUAAAAUAACCUAGAAAGGGUUCCACAUUUAGAAAUUUUUUUAAAAAGCUAAUUUUAAAUUAUAUAUAUAUAUGUAUAUGUAUAUGUACAUACACACACACUUACAGGAGUUUAACAGCUGCCACCCCACACUUUUGUUUCAUAAUACACAAAAGACAUAUUUUUUCCGACAAGUAUGUCUAUCUGCAGAAGUUCUCUGUAGAGUGUUUUCUGUGUUGCUGACAUAUAUAUUGCAUGGAAAUAGCUCCCGUAAUCCAUUUACAGCAUGACCCACUUCCCCUUUCAAGCAUCUCUGUAUCUGCAGUUUGAGUGGAUCUUUCAGAGACAACUUUUUAAUAGAUCUUUUCAAGAUAAUAUGGAAGUCCACCAGGAGAAAAAUUAAAGCAAUGUGUAUUCAA